rnacentral:rRNA from 1 species
GACGAACGCUGGCGGCGUGCUUAACACAUGCAAGUCGAACGGAAAGGCCCUGCUUUUGUGGGGUGCUCGCGUGGCGAACGGGUGAGAAACACGUGAGUAACCUGCCCUUGACUUUGGGAUAACUUCAGGAAACUGGGGCUAAUACCGGCUAGGAGCUCCUGCUGCAUGGUGGGGGUUGGAAAGUUUCGGCGGUUGGGGAUGGACUCGCGGCUUAUCAGCUUGUUGGUGGGGUAGUGGCUUACCAAGGCUUUGGCGGGUAGCCGGCCUGAGAGGGUGACCGGCCACAUUGGGACUGAGAGACGGCCCAGACUCCUACGGGAGGCAGCAGUGGGGAAUAUUGCACAAUGGGCGGAAGCCUGAUGCAGCAACGCCGCGUGCGGGAUGACGGCCUUCGGGUUGUAAACCGCUUUAGCCUGUGACGAAGCGUGAGUGACGGUAAUGGGUAAAGAAGCACCGGCUAACUACGUG